GUCGGCUAUGGGGAUAUGAGCCCACACACAACGAUGGGCCAGAUUAUUGGAUCAGGCUGCGCCCUCUGCGGUGUGCUAGUGUUGGCCAUGCCCAUCCCUAUCAUUGUCAACAAC
rfam:Schistocephalus solidus strain NST_G2 genome assembly, scaffold: SSLN_scaffold0002473